CAUUCUCAAAACCUUUUUGGUUUCUUAACCAGGAAGGCUUUGGACUUUGGGGGCUUUGCUGGUCUUCCCUUGUUGAAGCCCAGCUCCUCUGAAAUGAAUUAGUGGGGUCCCCUUUGCUGAUCCUUGACGUGAUAAGAUGUUUCUACGUCCGGGGUUUCGCACUGUUUGCUCUGGAUCCUGCUUCUAAUCGUCUCAUAGAAGACAAAUGGUCGAGUGGAUUGCCACUUGACCCACAAA
rnacentral:misc_RNA from 1 species